UGGAAAGAUGCCUUGCGGCAUGAUGUGCU
rnacentral:piRNA from 1 species